rnacentral:rRNA from 1 species
AGUUUGAUCCUGGCUCAGGACGAACGCUGGCGGCGUGCCUAAUACAUGCAAGUCGAGCGGACCGACGGGAGCUUGCUCCCUUAGGUCAGCGGCGGACGGGUGAGUAACACGUGGGUAACCUGCCUGUAAGACUGGGAUAACUCCGGGAAACCGGGGCUAAUACCGGAUGCUUGWUUGAACCGCAUGGUUCAAWCAUAAAAGGUGGCUUUUMGCUACCACUUACAGAUGGACCCGCGGCGCAUUAGCUAGUUGGUGRGGUAACGGCUCACCAAGGCGACGAUGCGUAGCCGACCUGAGAGGGUGAUCGGCCACACUGGGACUGAGACACGGCCCAGACUCCUACGGGAGGCAGCAGUAGGGAAUCUUCCGCAAUGGACGAAAGUCUGACGGAGCAACGCCGCGUGAGUGAUGAAGGUUUUCGGAUCGUAAAACUCUGUUGUUAGGGAAGAACAAGUACCGUUCGAAYAGGGCGGYACCUUGACGGUACCUAACCAGAAAGCCACGGCUAACUACGUGCCAGCAGCCGCGGUAAUACGUAGGUGGCAAGCGUUGUCCGGAAUUAUUGGGCGUAAAGCGCGCGCAGGCGGUUYYUUAAGUCUGAUGUGAAAGCCCCCGGCUCAACCGGGGAGGGUCAUUGGAAACUGGGGAACUUGAGUGCAGAAGAGGAGAGUGGAAUUCCACGUGUAGCGGUGAAAUGCGUAGAGAUGUGGAGGAACACCAGUGGCGAAGGCGACUCUCUGGUCUGUAACUGACGCUGAGGCGCGAAAGCGUGGGGAGCGAACAGGAUUAGAUACCCUGGUAGUCC